CGGACAGGAGAAUACAUUGGGAGCUCUUGAACUAGCUGGAAAUACAGCCCCGAGUGACGGAGCUCAUCAGACCGUCGCAGCAAUGUGCAGCCUGGCUGUCCUCGUCGUGUCCGUCUGCGCAUUGAUGGCGAGUCUCUCAGUCUGCUGCCCCCAAAGAAGAUACCACAUUGCAGGAUAUGUAAUGGCCUGGGACCAAGCUCGCCAAUACUGUCAAAGUAAUUUCAUUGAUCUGGUUAGUGUUCGCAGUGAAGAGGAAAUGCUGGCAAUCAAGGCAAUCGCCUCCCGGUCCUCAAGCUCUCGGUUUUUGUUGGGUCUGCGCAGAAGCACAGUACAAUCGUCUUGGGAAUGGUCAACUGGUGAGGCCUUUCAAUACAAAAACUGGGCAAUUGAGGAACCACCUGCUGAAGGAAAGUGUGGAGCCAUGAAUCCGAGUGGAGUGUGGGGAACCGGAUCUUGCGAUUACCCUGUCAACUUCAUCUGUUUGGCAGGUAAUUGCUUUCUGAAAAGAGUUAAUACCCAGCCUGCUAGUUAUUUUGAUAUUUCCUUAGAUUUUUAUGAUGGUUACAGUCCUGUAGUUUAACAUCACGAUGUUCAAAAAAUGGAUU